rnacentral:rRNA from 1 species
UACGUAGGGUGCAAGCGUUGUCCGGAAUUAUUGGGCGUAAAGAGCUCGUAGGCGGUCUGUCGCGUCUGCUGUGAAAACCUGGGGCUUAACCCCGGGCCUGCAGUGGGUACGGGCAGACUAGAGUGUGGUAGGGGAGACUGGAAUUCCUGGUGUAGCGGUGAGAUGCGCAGAUAUCAGGAGGAACACCGGUGGCGAAGGCAGCUCGCUGGGACGGUACUGACGCUGAGGCGCGAAAGCGUGGGGAGCAAACAGG